AACGAACGCUGGCGGCGCGCCUAAUACAUGCAAGUCGAGCGAGAAGACGUAGCAAUACGUUUGUAAAGCGGCGAACGGGUGAGGAAUACAUGGGUAACCUACCCUCGAGUGGGGAAUAACUAGCCGAAAGGUUAGCUAAUACCGCGUACGCUCCUUGGACUUCGGUUCAGGGAGGAAAGCGAUACCGUGGGUAUCGCGCUCUUGGAUGGGCUCAUGUCCUAUCAGCUUGUUGGUGAGGUAACGGCUCACCAAGGCUUCGACGGGUAGCUGGUCUGAGAGGACGAUCAGCCACACUGGCACUGCGACACGGGCCAGACUCCUACGGGAGGCAGCAGUAAGGAAUAUUGCGCAAUGGGCGAAAGCCUGACGCAGCGACGCCGCGUGGGGGAGUGAA
rnacentral:rRNA from 1 species